CCUCUGUUUACUUCAGACAUAUAUUCUUCCACAUAUCAUCACAGAAAAGUUAAUCAGUUAGAUAAUGUUUACCCAGUGGCAUCCUGAGACAUUGAUAGAUCAUGAGAGAAGAAAAUAUUAAAUUACCAUUUCUAAGCUGCUCAUUUAUUAUGUUAAAACUCACCCCAGCACAUUCUGAGGCAGGAAGGACAUCACCCUCUUCUGGUCUUCACCCCACUGGGGCAAGUUCAGAAGCCUGGGGUGGAUACAAGAGGGCCUGGGAUAGAUCACCAGGGACAGGGGCCGAACGUGAGGCAGGAGGGAGUGCUGCAGGUACCUGCAUGUCCACGGGUUCAUACCUAAUACAUACAGAGAAUACAUAAGACACAGAUACAGUACUAAGCAUUCUCAGCACCAUGACAGUAAAUCUACAGCAUGAAAGGUAAGAGACAGAUACAGUACUAAGCAUUCUCAGCACCAUGACAGUAAAUCUACAGCAUGAAAGGUAAGAGACAGAUACAGUACUAAGCAUUCUCAGCACCAUGACAGUAAAUCUACAGCAUGAAAGGUAAGUGACAGAUACAGCACUAAGCAUUCUCAGCACCAUGACAGUAAAUCUACAGCAUGAAAGGUAAGAGACAGAUACAGCACUAAGCAUUCUCAGCACCAUGACAGUAAAACUACACCAUGAAAGGUAAGUGACAGAUACAGUACUAAGCAUUCUCAGCACCAUGACAGUAAAUCUACAGCAUGAAAGGUAAGAGACAGAUACUAGAUUUAGUUGUGUAACUAAAGGACAAAGAAUGCAUAGCCCUUUAUGACAGAUUCAGGAAGGGAGUGUCAUGAUGCUGAGGAGUGUCACAUUCAAUACAUGGACAAAUAGUAAGAUUAACACAAUGCAUAUCUUCCAUUAUUGUAAAGUAUUCAUGCUUGCAGAAUGUCAAGGGAACAGAAUAGCCUACCUAACAUUGCAGAACCAUAUUCAUGUGUAGAUUGAAAUGCAAGGCAAAUAUCAUGAUUAUGACACCAUGAAACUAGACAACAUAAUACAUCUAUUAUCUAAUCCAUGACUGAUACAUGUUGAAUAAAACUGUUUUACACUGAAACAUAAACUACUGUACAGUAGCAUGUUAAAGUUACUCAACUGUAGCCUGCAUCACGUUCACACGAUUUCACAACUUCACAGACGUCUUACACCACACAACAAAGCACCAAUUUAAGCGAUAGUAUGAAUUAAAAUAGCUCCGAUUGUAAAAAUAGUAUUGAAAAUGCAGACAAGUGGUGUGUGAUUGUACAGGUAGUUACCGAUACCAAACCAAUGCUACGGGUAUCAUAGGUAGAUGACUGCUGAGAUGUUUUACAUUCACUUUUCCAUUCUUCUUACAACUUCACAGAUGUAGCAAUAAGAUUUACAACUGAUUUCAUCCAACCUUGUAAAAGAUAUUUACUCUGUAACUCUCCGUUUGAUGUAAACAAAGAUCCGAUGAGGGGAAAGUGUCAUGGCGCCGUUUGGUUUUUCA
rnacentral:lncRNA from 1 species